UCGCGAGCGGAAGCGCGAUCAAACAUGGAGAUUGAGGCCCCCCCGAGCCUCUGAAACCGCGCGGCUCCCCGUAUACGCGACACACGAAACUCGCGCGUUCUCCCUCGACACACGUAUACAAACAUACGGGGCGUGAGUGCGAGAGAGAAAAAGAAAGAGCGAGGGAGAGAGAGUGAGAAGGAGAAAGAAAGAGAGAGAGAGAGAGUCUGAGCGAGACGUAUACACACAAAAGCCACGAGGGGGUUUACAGUUAGUGUGUUGAUCAGAGGUACGUCCCCAGGGUGAUCGGGGCCAGUUCUUGGCCAGCCCAAGCCACGAGGAUGGAGCUCCGAGUCGGCAACAGGUAUCGGCUAGGACGCAAAAUCGGGAGCGGCUCUUUCGGCGACAUUUAUCUAGGUACAAACAUCUCUACCGGCGAAGAAGUCGCUAUCAAAUUAGAAUGCAUCAAAACGCGCCAUCCACAGUUACACAUAGAGUCCAAGUUUUACAAAAUGAUGCAAGGAGGCGUUGGUAUACCUACAAUAAAGUGGUGCGGAUCAGAAGGUGACUACAACGUUAUGGUGAUGGAGUUGUUAGGUCCGUCGCUGGAGGAUCUCUUUAAUUUUUGUUCACGAAGAUUCACCCUUAAAACAGUUUUAUUACUAGCCGAUCAAAUGAUCAGCAGAACGGACUAUAUUCACAGCCGUCAUUUCAUACAUCGUGACAUAAAACCAGACAAUUUCCUUAUGGGCUUGGGCAAGAAGGGUAACUUAGUGUACAUUAUAGAUUUUGGACUUGCCAAAAAGUACCGUGACAGUCGCACUCUCAGGCACAUACCCUACCGAGACAACAAGAAUCUUACGGGUACAGCCAGAUACGCGAGUAUAAACACACACGUGGGAGUCGAACAAUCCCGGAGAGACGAUCUCGAAUCACUAGGCUACGUUUUCAUGUACUUCAAUAUAGGUAGUUUGCCCUGGCAGGGUCUCAAGGCCGCGACAAAGAGGCAAAAGUACGAACGCAUCUCGGAAAUGAAAAUGUCAACGUCAAUCGAUAUACUCUGCGCUGGCUAUCCUAACGAGUUUGCCAAGUAUCUGAAGUACUGUCGGCAGAUCCGUUUUGAAGAGAAGCCCGAUUAUCCAUACCUGAGGCAGCUAUUUCGUAGUCUUUUCCACCAUGAAACUUUCACCUACGAUUAUGUAUUCGAUUGGAACAUGCUCAAGUUUGGUAACGCGAGGCAACCUGCAUUGCCAGCUGCCCAGCAGCAAGUACCGACUCAUUCACAACCGGCGAACGUGCCGCUUCCUGCGGGGACCAAUAACGAGCAAGAACAUCCAUCGAGGCUUUACACCCGGCAAUGUUUGGCAAACGCAUCGACCGUGUUCGGUCCAGCGGUGGGAACGUCGAGUCGACGUCACAGACACGAGGCGAUAGAGGCACGGGGGGUUGACCAGGAGGAUCAGGAAAAGAGCGACCUCCAAGGUACCGGAACUGAUGCCCACGAGAGACGAAGGGUCAGCAUAACUAGGUUGUUGCCCAGAAGCUCUGCUGCAGCAGCUGCUGCCGAAAUGCAACCCAAACCCAAAUAAACUGAACACAAAGAAAAAUCAAAAUCUAUUAUGAGAAAGUAACGUCGAGAAAAAGGCAAAGCGGAGUGAAAACACAUACUUAAAACACAAAUGAGGGCAGGAAUAAAUCGCAUUAUUGGCCUGAAACGUUUGAGAGACAGCGGAAAAAGAAAAAGGGGAUCGACGAAAACGGAAGAUAAGCACGAGGAUCGCCCUAAUGUCGCUGCUUUUGUGUUUUCUUUUUUAAUUUUGGAAGCGCCAAUGCGGUGUCAGUGGUGGUGGCCAAGCCGAUGGCCAGGCGGAUAAACAGCAAGUGAACAAUGAGGAUGCUAAUCAACAUACUGCCCUGGCUAAUCGUCAUUUGUCCUCGCAGCUGAUCUCUCGUUCCUCUCGAA
rnacentral:misc_RNA from 1 species